rnacentral:rRNA from 1 species
ACGUCUUCUUCGAGCGUUAUCCGGAUUUACUGGGCGUAAAGCGCGUGCAGGCGGUGCGAUAAGUCGUGCGUGGAAGCUCCCAGGCUUAACCGGGAGAGGACGUGCGAGACUGUCGGACUAGAGGCAGGUAGAGGCAAGUGGAAUUCCGGGUGUAGUGGUGGAAUGCGUAGAGAUCGGGAGGAACACCAGAGGCGCGAGCGGGUGCCUGGGCGACGACUGACACUGAGGGACGAAAGCGUGGGGAGCGAACAG